GUAGGGAAUCUUCCACAAUGGACGAAAGUCUGAUGGAGCAACGCCGCGUGAGUGAAGAAGGUUUUCGGAUCGUAAAGCUCUGUUGUUGGUGAAGAAGGAUAGAGGCAGUAACUGGUCUUUAUUUGACGGUAAUCAACCAGAAAGUCACGGCUAACUACGUGCCAGCAGCCGCGGUAAUACGUAGGUGGCAAGCGUUGUCCGGAUUUAUUGGGCGUAAAGCGAGCGCAGGCGGAACGAUAAGUCUGAUGUGAAAGCCCACGGCUCAACCGUGGAACUGCAUCGGAAACUGUCAUUCUUGAGUGCAGAAGAGGAGAGUGGAACUCCAUGUGUAGCGGUGGAAUGCGUAGAUAUAUGGAAGAACACCAGUGGCGAAGGCGGCUCUCUGGUCUGCAACUGACGCUGAGGCUCGAAAGCAUGGGUAGCGAACAGGAUUAGAUACCCUGGUAGUCCAUGCCGUAAACGAUGAGCGCUAGGUGUUGGGGACUUUCCGGUCCUCAGUGCCGCAGCAAACGCAUUAAGCGCUCCGCCUGGGGAGUACGACCGCAAGGUUGAAAC
rnacentral:rRNA from 1 species